CGCAGCAGGCGCGAAAACUUUGCAAUGCGCGAAAGCGCGACAAGGGGAUUCCAAGUGCAUGCACUAAGUGUAUGCUUUUUGUGAGUGUAAAAAACUCUCAGAAUAAGGGCUGGGUAAGACUGGUGCCAGCCGCCGCGGUAAUACCAGCGGCCCUAGUGGUGAUCGUUAUUAUUGGGCCUAAAGCGUCCGUAGCCGGUCCGGUAAAUCUCUGGGUAAAUCGUUGGGCUUAACUCAACGAAUUCUGGGGAGACUGCCGGACUUGGGACCGGGAGAGGUCGGAGGUACUCCAGGGGUAGGGGUGAAAUCCUGUAAUCCUUGGGGGACCACCGGUGGCGAAGGCGUCCGACCAGAACGGGUCCGACGGUAAGGGACGAAGCCCUGGGGCGCGAACCGGAUUAGAUACCCGGGUAGUCCAGGGUGUAAACGCUGUGCGCUUGGUGUUGGGGGUCCCACGAGGGCAUCCAGUGCCGGAGAGAAGUUGUUAAGCGCACCGCCUGGGGAGUACGGUCGCAAGACUGAAAC
rnacentral:rRNA from 1 species